rnacentral:rRNA from 1 species
GAUGAACGCUGGCGGCGUGCCUAAUACAUGCAAGUCGAGCGAACAGACGAGGAGCUUGCUCCUCUGACGUUAGCGGCGGACGGGUGAGUAACACGUGGAUAACCUACCUAUAAGACUGGGAUAACUUCGGGAAACCGGAGCUAAUACCGGAUAAUAUAUUGAACCGCAUGGUUCAAUAGUGAAAGACGGUUUUGCUGUCACUUAUAGAUGGAUCCGCGCCGCAUUAGCUAGUUGGUAAGGUAACGGCUUACCAAGGCAACGAUGCGUAGCCGACCUGAGAGGGGGAUCGGCCACACUGGAACUGAGACACGGUCCAGACCCCUACGGGAGGCAGCAGGAGGGAAUCUCCGCAAUGGGCGAAAGCUUGACGGAGCAACGCCGCGUGAGUGAUGAAGGUCUUCGGAUCGUAAAACUCUGUUAUUAGGGAAGAACAAAUGUGUAAGUAACUAUGCACGUCUUGACGGUACCUAAUCAGAAAGCCACGGCUAGCUACGUG